rnacentral:rRNA from 1 species
AGCUCACUGGUCGAGUGAUCCUGCGCCGAAGAUUUCCGGGGCUAAAACUUACUACCGAAGCUACGGCAUCAGUAAUGAUGGGUAGGGGAGCUUCCCAUACGGGUUGAAGCAUGACCGUAAGGACAUGUGGACAGUAUGGGAGUGAGAAUGUUGGCAUGAGUAGCGAGAUGUGGGUGAGAAUCCCACAGGCCGUAAACCCAAGGUUUCCAGGGGAAGGUUCGUCCGCCCUGGGUUAGUCGGGACCUAAGCUGAGGCCGAAAGGCGUAGGUGAUGGACAACAGGUUGAUAUUCCUGUACUACCGAU